rnacentral:rRNA from 2 species
CUAUACAUGCAAGUCGACGAGCUCUCCCAAAUUGAUUUUAUGCUUGCAUAAAUGAUUUUUGGAUUCGGAGCGAGUGGCGAACUGGUGAGUAACACGUGGGUAACCUGCCCCGAAGCGGGGGAUAACAUUUGGAAACAAGUGCUAAUACCGCAUAAUUAGUUGGAACCGCAUGGUUCCAACUUGAAAGAUGGCUCUGCUAUCACUUUGGGAUGGACCCGCGCCGUAUUAGUUAGUUGGUGAGAUAAAAGCCCACCAAGACGAUGAUACGUAGCCGACCUGAGAGGGUAAUCGGCCACAUUGGGACUGAGACACGGCCCAGACUCCUACGGGAGGCAGCAGUAGGGAAUCUUCCACAAUGGACGAAAGUCUGAUGGAGCAACGCCGCGUGAGUGAUGAAGGUUUUCGGAUCGUAAAACUCUGUUGUUAAAGAAGAACAAGUGUUAGAGUAACUGUUAACACUUUGACGGUAUUUAACCAGAAAGCCACGGCUAACUACGUGCCAGCAGCCGCGGUAAUACGUAGGUGGCAAGCGUUGUCCGGAUUUAUUGGGCGUAAAGCGAGCGCAGGCGGUUUUGUAAGUCUGCUGUGAAAGCCCUCAGCUCAACUGAGGAAGUGCAGUGGAAACUACAAAACUUGAGUACAGAAGAGGAAAGUGGAACUCCAUGUGUAGCGGUGAAAUGCGUAAAUAUAUGGAAGAACACCAGUGGCGAAGGCGGCUUUCUGGUCUGUUACUGACGCUGAGGCUCGAAAGCAUGGGUAGCGAACAGGAUUAGAUACCCUGGUAGUCCAUGCCGUAAACGAUGAAUACUAGGUGUUGGAGGGUUUCCGCCCUUCAGUGCCGCAGCUAACGCAUUAAGUAUUCCGCCUGGGGAGUACGACCGCAAGGUUGAAACUCAAAGGAAUUGACGGGGGCCCGCACAAGUGGUGGAGCAUGUGGUUUAAUUCGAUGCUACGCGAAGAACCUUACCAGCUCUUGACAUCUUCUGCCAACCCAAGAGAUUGGGCGUUCCCUUCGGGGACAGAAUGACAGUGGGUGCAUGGUUGUCNUCAGCUUCGUGUCGUGAGAUGUUNGUUGGGUCCGGGCAACAGCGCAACCCUUAUUAUUAGNNGCCAGCAUUAGNUGGGGNUGUUA